rnacentral:rRNA from 1 species
GACAGAGGGGGCAAGCGUUGCUCGGAAUUACUGGGCGUAAAGGGCGCGUAGGCGGAAUGGCAAGUCGGUCGUGAAAUCCUUCGGCUCAACCGAAGAACGUCGAUCGAAACUGCCGUUCUUGAGGAUUGCAGAGGAGACUGGAAUUCCACGUGUAGCAGUGAAAUGCGUAGAGAUGUGGAGGAAUACCGAUGGCGAAGGCAGCCUCCUGGGCCAACACUGACGCUCAUGCACGAAAGCGUGGGGAGCAAACAGG